AACGAACGCUGGCGGUAUGCUUAACACAUGCAAGUUGAACGGUAACGAUGGGAAGCUUGCUUUCCAGGCGACGAGUAGCGGACGGGUGAGUAAUGCAUAGGAGUCUGCCCAGUAGCGGGGGACAACUCGGAGAAAUCCGAGCUAAUACCGCAUACGCCCUACGGGGGAAAGCGGAGGAUCUUCGGACUUCGCACUAUUGGAUGAGCCUAUGUCGGAUUAGCUUGUUGGUGGGGUAAUGGCCUACCAAGGCAACGAUCUGUAGCUGGUCUGAGAGGACGAUCAGCCACACUGGGACUGAGACACGGCCCAGACUCCUACGGAGGCAGCAGUGGGGAAUAUUGGACAAUGGGCGCAAGCCUGAUCCAGCAAUGCCGCGUGUGUGAAGAAGGCCUGCGGGUUGUAAAGCACUUUCAAUCGUGAAAAAAAGCUACAUGGUUAAUACCCAUGAGUCUUGAUGUUAACGAUACAAGAAGCACCGGCUAAC
rnacentral:rRNA from 1 species